GAACUGGCGUAGCCUAACUACAGCGGACGUAGAAUCCCGUUUAAAUCAGAUUACAAAGAUUGCAAGUAGCCUGUAACGUGAACCUACAUUGGCUUUCUUCGGCUUUCAGAUGUGAAAAGGCUUACCAGAUCAUCGACUUCAUUGUGAACCUGACACUGCCUGCACAACAAGAAGACAUCGUUGCGUACCAAGACCACCAUGCCAAACAAGCUGACUAUAUUGCGAGUGUCACUGUGGUGUUAUUCGCUUCUUCUGUUGGGUGUCUUUAUGACCAUUCUUGGACCAACAUUGCCUGACCUUCAGGACUAUUUUAGGACAAGUCUGGAUGACAUAUCAAGCCUGUUUCUCAUAUUGGGACUAUCUCUUAGCUUUGGGUGCUUGGUGUCUGUAGUUCUUAUGAAGUACCUGGAACCAUCAAAAGUGCUUGCAGUGUGCUUACUGCUGGAGGGAGUGUGUAUAAGCACAGUCACAAUCACGCCUUACUUGUGGGUAGCGUGUCUCGCAAUUGCUGGAUC